UACGAAGGGGGCUAGCGUUGUUCGGAAUUACUGGGCGUAAAGCGUAUGCAGGCGGAUCGUUAAGUCGGGGGUGAAAUCCCGAGGCUCAACCUCGGAACUGCCUUCGAUACUGGCGAUCUUGAGUCCGGGAGAGGUGAGUGGAACUCCGAGUGUAGAGGUGAAAUUCGUAGAUAUUCGGAAGAACACCAGUGGCGAAGGCGGCUCACUGGAUCUCUUCUGACGCUGAGUCACGAAA
rnacentral:rRNA from 1 species